rnacentral:rRNA from 1 species
GACGAACGCUGGCGGCGUGCUUAACACAUGCAAGUCGAACGGUGAAGGGGCCUGCUUUUGUGGGUCCUGGAUGAGUGGCGAACGGGUGAGUAACACGUGAGUAACCUGCCCCCUUCUUCUGGAUAACCGCAUGAAAGUGUGGCUAAUACGGGAUAUUCUGGGUCUGUCGCAUGGUGGGCCUGGGAAAGAUUGCGCCUUUUUUGGUGUUUUUGGUGGGGGAUGGGCUCGCGGCCUAUCAGCUUGUUGGUGGGGUGAUGGCCUACCAAGGCGGUGACGGGUAGCCGGCCUGAGAGGGUGGACGGUCACACUGGGACUGAGACACGGCCCAGACUCCUACGGGAGGCAGCAGUGGGGAAUAUUGCACAAUGGGCGCAAGCCUGAUGCAGCGACGCCGCGUGAGGGAUGGAGGCCUUCGGGUUGUGAACCUCUUUCGCCAGUGAAGCAGGCCUGCCUCGUUUUGUGGUGGGGUGAC